UUGAUUCAGCCUGCCGUUCUUCUGGGACUACAGUAAUGGGUCUUGUCCACACUGACGUCUAAAGGCACGUGGUGGAAUGAGCAACCGACCGGAAAAAUGUAAAGUAGUAAAUAGUGUCGGGGGAAGAGGUCAUUGAGAGGUCACACGUGAGAGGAAGGCACACGGUGAGGACGAGGAGACGGCAGUUGAUAUCUGUCCACGAGGUUCACAUCAAUUUGAAGGGUUAAACCAACAACCGUUACAGUCGCUCUGUAUUCUACCCUUCAGUCUGUCCGGGGUAAUCAAUAGGGACACAGCGAUCAGCCCUGUAGGGCAGAUACUAUCACUGGAUUUAUUUCAUUAGGAACUUAGGAACAAUUACACUCCCCUCCUGCUCCUGCCACAGUUUUUCCUGUAACAACCUGCUCAGGUUUCUUUGUUUCUCUGUGUCCUGGAUAGACUGGAAUACUAGGACACUAGAACAACAGCAUAAAAUACCACUUCAAGAGUUAGCAUUUAAGAAGCUAACACUAUUUGGAGUUUGACAUGUUCUGCUCAGACUUCAGCAUCAUCGCAAAUGAUGUGACAUAAAGAGACACACACACAUCUGUGUUGCUGGGUCAACAGACCACAGCCUAUAAACAUUCAACUACAUUUACUGGUGAAUAUUUAACAUAUUGUGAAGUACAAACAGAGGAGAAACUGUUCAGUGAAUCUGACGUCAGACAUUAAAGCUGAGUUCGUUUGAAUAUGAGUUAAAAUGGUCACUAAAUGUCAGACAUAAGUCACUUCUUGAAUCAAUACUAUUACCCCCUACUCUCACCCCUCUCUCUCCCUCUGUGGGCCAGAGGCUGAACAUUUACACUCUCCAGGUUUUUCAUACCCAACGAGCCGUAUUAGGAGAGAGUUCAUUAAGGCAGAAUUCUUUUUUUUUUUCUUGUUGCUCUAAUUUUCUGUUGUUGUUAACACUUUCUAUAAUGUUCCUUUUUGGCAGUGAUUUAAUGAUGCAAAAUAGAAAAUCCUUCUUUUUUAAAAAAAAAGCAACAUUUCCUCCACAUCACUGUGAUCACUAUCUCUAUGCCCCGUGCUUUGAUCACCACAUUCUACCCUUAGCUUUGAUCGUGCCGCAGCUCUGCAGCGCCAUCUUGUGCCGACAGACACAAGCAUAUGAAGGCAACGCUUCCCCCAGGUUUCUCCCUGCCUCAUCCUGCUUCUGAUAUUUUUAGAGCCGUCCAGAUAUUUUUAGCUCUGUGUUGCCAUGUAAACUGGUUGUCACAGAGACCAGGAGGACGGCUGUUCCAGUGCAGUGCUGACAUCAGCUCCACAUUGUCUUUGUCAGCUGGUAAAAAAAAAAAA